rnacentral:rRNA from 1 species
GCUACGGGAGGCAGCAGUGAGGAAUCUUGGGCAAUGGACGAGAGUCUAAACCAGCCAAGUAGCGUGAAGGAUGACUGCCCUAUGGGCUGUAAACUUCUUUUAUAAAGGAAUAAAACGAGGCACGUGUGCCUUUUUGCAUGUACUUUAUGAAUAAGGAUCGGCUAACUCGGUGCCAGCAGCCGCGGUAAUACGGAGGAUCAGAGCGUUAUCCGGAUUUAUUGGGUUUAAAGGGAGCGUAGAUGGGUUGGUAAGUCAGUUGUGAAAGUUCGCGGCUCAAACGUAAAAUUGCAAUUGAUACUGGCAGUCUUGAGUACAGUUGAGGUAGGCGGAAUUCGUGGUGUAGCGGUGAAAUGCUCAGAGAUCACGAAGAACCCCGAUUGCGAAGGUAGCUUACUAAACUGUGACUGACAUUGAUGCUCGAAAGUGUGGGGAUCAAACAGGAUUAGAUACCCGGGUAGUC